rnacentral:sRNA from 1 species
UUCAGCUGGCUGAAUACUGAGAUCUAGUUAUCCACACAACAGAUAUGGCAAGGGAAACGGUGAAAGAUUACUCAGACUGCUUCACCAAUGUACUUCCAUCCUGAUCUGGAGGGGCCAUCUCUAAGGGUGAGAGAAUAGUUUGGUUUACAUGCCCAUUCAAUCAUCUGCACUC